AAGAAAAGCCAUACACUUUGAAGGCACCAAAUCUCAUCUGAUCUUGUAAGCUAAGCAGGAUCUGUUCUGGUAAGUACUUGGAUGAGAGAUUACUACUGAAAGCUAUAUUAC
rnacentral:rRNA from 1 species